rnacentral:lncRNA from 1 species
CGCGUACGAGAUCCCUAUCUGCAAUAUCCCUGUAACAUAGAAGAUGAUAAGCGCAAUUCAUAAGAUAACUUUAAGACAGUAAGUACAAUUAUAAAAUUUUACUCAAACUAUAUGGAGAAGUUAUUAUUCUUUAUAUUUCAAUUCCUAUGUCCUAAGAUUUCUAAGCCACUAAGAUUCAAGUCAAAUAACGUAUUUAUUAGAUAAUAAAAUUAUUAAGCAGUAUGAUAAUUCACAAAUGUACCUCUCAUACUAGUAGUCAAAAAUUUUCGGCGACUUCGAUCUGAACAUUGAGAAUAAUAUUAAUUAUAUUUCUCUUAUAAUAUUUCGAUCAUAUUUCUCACAAAAUUAAUAUCAAAGUUUGGCGCAAAAUCCUAGGAGUAAAAUUUCCGACAGAUUUGGUCGGUCCUAAAUGUCAAUGUGUUGCUGUUUGACCAGCUUGAAUUUUUUUGACAGAAAUGGCCGGACAUUU